CUCAGAUCCUCGCUAGGAAAGCUUCAAGGAAAGUUUUUCAUAAAAAAGUUAACAAUGACAAACGUACUUUCUAUAUAUUUUGCAAUCUCAAAGAUACGUACAUAGAACAAAACUAGAAAUAUUGUAAACGAUCUCUAAACGUGCGAGAAAACUUAUAAAAACUCUUGUAAAAAAAUAGUGUUUUAUUUUUCACUUUUCUAUGAUAUAUUCAAGGCUUACCGGAAACAGUGAGUGACGUUUCCUGACUUUUUUUUUGUUAGUACGUUAUGACAUUUUGUAAUAAAUCAACAAAUCAACCGUCUGCAUCACCUUUCAAAUCGUUUUCAUUUAACUUAAACGACGACAAAGGCGAUUUGUGAUUUCUCUUUCUAAUUAAAUAAAAAAAUCAGCCUUACUGCCAAACACAAAUGUUUGAGUAAAAGUAUUUGCUCGCAGUUAACGUCGAUCGUGACCUCGGAAUACACCUCAGAUCUCCUCAUCAAUGUUUCCUCUACCACAUUAUUUUACAUUACUUUCGUCAUCAAAUAUAGUUCAUUCAGAGUUAAUAUAGAAACUAUGAAGCAUCUAUUGGAACUACUUCAGCGUAUCUAUAACGAGCUACGAGAUGAGAAUGAGAUUAAUAUCAUAAAAAAAUAUGGGCAGCUCUCGAGGCGGUACACGGCUGCACUUAUAAUAUUUUCUGUGUUUAUUCUUAUUCCCAUAAUUACGUACUCAUUUUGUCCGCUCAUUCUUGAUAUCCUGCGGCCCUUAAAUGAGACUCGACCACAGCCCUCGUUGGAAUUCAAAUACUUUGUUAAUCAAAAAAAAUAUUUCUAUCUGAUUAUGCUACACGCAAUAACAGCUUUUAUAGUGGGUGGGCUCGCGAUGGUAUCUACGGGUGCGAUACUCAUAGCAUUUAUACAGCAUGCUUGCGGAAUGUUUCGAAUUUCCAGCUACCGUAUCGAGCACGCGAUGGCAAUCGAGACUGCACAAAGCAGCAACGCGGGGAAUGGUAAUAUGAUGUACGAGGGUCUAAUUUACGCUGUAGAUAUCCAUCGUAAAGCUAUGCAGUUCUCCGAUUUGUCAAUAUCAAAAUUCAAGGUGUCGUUUUUCCUCUUAAUAGUAACCGGUGUGGCCUGCGGAAGUCUUAAUUUAUUGCGAAUUUUUCAGGCGGUAACAGUCGGAUACACUAACGUCGGGAUGUUAUCAAUACCUCUUGUGUUCUUUGUUAUCCACAUGAUCUAUAUGAUCGUGAGCAACUCUGUCGCGCAAGAUAUCAUGGAUCACAAUAGCCACGUGUUCGACACUAUGUAAAUAAAAGCGCAACUGCUGCACGUGUGUAUUUUUUCUUCGAUGCGUGAUUUCCGAUUUUUGCCGAGAAAAAUCGAGAUUCACACCUUUUCACGGACACGAGUUUUCUUCGAUAUAAAUUUCUCAUCGCUGAAUAUACAGAAGAUACGAUGUUCGCUGGUAUGUGGCACCUUUGAACGUACAGAA
rnacentral:misc_RNA from 1 species